rnacentral:lncRNA from 1 species
CACCAACACUUGUAAUCCCUGAUUUUCGCAAUUAUGGUCCACUGGCUUUUCCUAAUCACAAUGAAGGCAUAAACCAUUUUUCCUCCUCUUUCAAAGCUUUAAAACAAUAAGUUGAUUUGGUGGUUGUGAUUGCUUUAGUUUAUCAAAUUUUGGAGUUAUGAAAACUUAUCUUGGGAUUGAAACUGAAGGUAAACUUUGAUUAACAUGCGGGUCGUGUGUGCGGACUGGGAAAUAAAGGAGUUGUGGGCUUGGGUUAUCUAUAUUAAUUUG